rnacentral:rRNA from 1 species
UACGGAGGGGGCCAGCGUUGCUCGGAAUUAUUGGGCGUAAAGGGCGCGUAGGCGGCUUUGCGUGUCUUUCGUGAAAUCCCUCGGCUCAACUGAGGACGUGCGGAAGAAACUGCAGGGCUGGAGUCCGGGAGAGGAGGGUGGAAUUCCCAGUGUAGCGGUGAAAUGCGUAGAUAUCGGGAGGAACACCAGUGGCGAAGGCGACUUCCUGGCCUGUUCUUGACGCUGAGGCGCGAAAGCUAGGGGAGCAAACGGG